rnacentral:rRNA from 1 species
UACGUAGGUGGCAAGCGUUGUCCGGAUUUAUUGGGCGUAAAGCGCGCGCAGGCGGUGAGGUAAGUCCGUCGUGAAAUCUCCCGGCUCAACUGGGAGGGUGCGGGGGAGACUGCCUGACUGGAGGCACUCAGAGGCCGGUGGAAUUCCCGGUGGAGUGGUGAAAUGCGUAGAGAUCGGGAGGAACACCAGUGGCGAAGGCGGCCGGCUGGGGGUGACCUGACGCUGAGGCGCGAAAGCGUGGGGAGCAAACAGG